UAAUACCUGAUAAGCCCACGAGCUCUUUGGAGCUUGCGGGAAAAGGUGGCCUCUGAAUAUGCUACUGUAUCAGGAUGAGUCCGCGUCCCAUUAGCUAGUUGGUGGGGUAAUGGCCUACCAAGGCGACGAUGGGUAGCUGGUCUGAGAGGAUGAUCAGCCACACUGGAACUGAGACACGGUCCAGACUCCUACGGGAGGCAGCAGUGGGGAAUUUUGCGCAACGGGGGAAACCCUGACGCAGCAACGCCGCGUGAGUGAUGAAGGCCUUCGGGUCGUAAAGCUCUGUCAGAGGGAAAGAAAUGUAUUAUGGCUAAUAUCCAUGAUACUUGACGGUACCCUCAAAGGAAGCACCGGCUAACUCCGUGCCAGCAGCCGCGGUAAUACGGAGGGUGCGAGCGUUGUUCGGAAUUAUUGGGCGUAAAGCGCGUGUAGGCGGCUCCUUAAGUCUGGUGUGAAAGCCCUGGGCUCAACCCGGGAAGUGCAUUGGAAACUGGGGAACUUGAAUACGGGAGAGGGUAGUGGAAUUCCUGGUGUAGGAGUGAAAUCCGUAGAUAUCAGGAGGAACACCGGUGGCGAAGGCGGCUACCUGGACCGAUAUUGACGCUGAGACGCGAAAGCGUGGGGAGCAAACGGGAUUAGAUACCCUGGUAGUCCACGCCGUAAACGAUGAGUACUAGGUGUCGCGGGUA
rnacentral:rRNA from 1 species